GAGUGCAGUGGCAUGAUCUCAGCUCACUGCAACCUCCACCUCCUGGGUUCAAGUGAUUCUCCUGCCUCAACUUCCCUAGUAGCUAGGAUUACAGAUGUGCGCCCAAUGCCUGGCUAAUUUUUGUAUUUUUAGUAGAGACGGGUUUUCACCAUGUUGGUCAUGCUGGUCUUGAAUUCCUGAACUCAUAAUCCGCCCACCCCGGCCUCCCAAAAUGCUGGGAUUACAGGUGUGAGCCACUGCACCCUGCAGAAAUUAAUUACUUCUAAUGAUCAACCCUUACAACAAAAAUACGUACAAUAAAAUAAUUACUUUAGAAAGAUAGAAAGAUCAUAUCCCACCCAAGUCAAAGGCGCCAGUUUUGGGGUAAUACAAUAAUGACAAUGAAAUUUCAGACAAAAACUUACGGACACUUACAUUUUGGCAUAGACAAUAGGAUCUGUGUAAAAAAUGAUCCAUCUGGGAUAAACUAUAUUAUUAGCAGCUUUGUAAAGCCUUUAGAUUUAAGAAGCUUCUGGAACCUACAAAUGGAGAAUUCAUGUUUUCAGAAAUUAAUUUGUGGUAUAGCACCAACUUUCCAUCCCACUAGAAAAAUGAAGAAGAAACCAGAAUCAAGGAAGAAAGACAGUCAUAUGGCCUGAGCACAAGUUUUGGGACUGAGGAAUGAGGUAGAUGCCUUAUUCUGAGAAAGACAAAGAGAACUUUAUGUUUCCCAGGCACACUGUACUGACAUACCAAGAAUGUUAGUAGCCUCAAAUUGUAGAGAUGAGUGUGCACUCACAAUUUGAGGCUACUCAAUUGGGAUGGUAGUUAGAUAAGCAAAAGGUAGAACAAUCACAUGUUUAAGACUGGGUCAGGCUAGUUAGUAUCGCAAAAGUAAUGUUUUGGUUCUGGUCUGUUUUUCUAAAACAUAAAUCCAAAGCAUCCUGGUAGAAGCAAGUGAAUGCCUCAUAAUUGCUACCCAUCUACUGUUAAAGAAAGUGCCCAUAAGAAAGUAUGUUCAAAUGGUAGUUGUUAGUAAACAAACAUUUCUUCUGAAAUUAGAUAAUAAAACAUUGUCAUGAUUAAUUUGACUGGGUAAAAUAUUAGAAUACAUUACAUAGGACAAGGAUGUUGAUAAGAAAUGUCCAGAUAUUUUGAAAAUAAACCCACUAAUAGUGCAUUGUACCACCAACCUUCAAAACCUUGGGAUAAGAUGAAUUCAAUACUAUUUUCUGUACUUAUUUUCCUAUAGGUGAUCAAAUGCGUUCAGCACAGAGCUUGAUCUCAAGGUUGAAGGGUUUUUUUUUCUUGCAUUUCUAAAUGCUGUACUUACUUUAUUUUAAAACAUGUACUUAAAAAUACGUUUUCCUCACACUGGAAGUCAUAUAGCACCAUCACAGGCAGGAUCAUUAUUUUGGAAAGCUAUUAUUCUCAAAAUAGAGAUUCAGGAAACCUAACUAAUGUGGUAGCUCCAGAAUGGUUAAAUCAAUGAACUAUAGAUUAUCUCCCCUAUAUGCAAGGACAAAGCUCGAGGAAGCCCUUUUCCAGUCAUUCACUUAAUAUUUUCUCAAUUCAAUAUUGUUUUUCACAGUUAGUUGUUCAACCAUUAUUAUAUUUCUAAGAACUGAGCAUUCAUACUAAAAUUGUUAACUAUGAGAAAUAACUAUAAGAACUACACUUUCCUUUUUUUCUUUUCUCACAUGGAGUCUUGCUCUGUCACUCAGGCUGGAGUGCAAUGGUGUGAUCUUGGCUCACUGUAACCUCCACCUCCAGGUUCAAGUGAUUCUCCUGCCUCAGCCUCCCAAGUAGCUGGGAUUACAGGCACAUGCCACCAUACCUGGCUAAUUUUUGCAUUUUUAGUAGAGAUCGGGUUUCCCAAUGCUGGCCAGGCAGGUCUUGAACUCCUGACCUCAGGUGAUCCUCCCUCCUUGACCUCCCAAACUGCUGGGAUUAUAGGCGAGAGCCACUGCACCCAGCCAGAACUACACUUUUCAAUGCUAAAAACAUUCACAAGUAAAAUACAGUUGUAAAUAAUUAUGCAUCAAAUAACACAACAAUCACAUUUACAAAGUAGAAACUAUAGGAUAUGAAAAAAGACAUA
rnacentral:lncRNA from 10 species